rnacentral:rRNA from 1 species
AGUGAACGCUGGCGGUAGGCCUAACACAUGCAAGUCGAACGGCAGCACAGUAAGAGCUUGCUCUUACGGGUGGCGAGUGGCGGACGGGUGAGGAAUACAUCGGAAUCUACUUUUUCGUGGGGGAUAACGUAGGGAAACUUACGCUAAUACCGCAUACGACCUACGGGUGAAAGCAGGGGAUCUUCGGACCUUGCGCGAUUGAAUGAGCCGAUGUCGGAUUAGCUAGUUGGCGGGGUAAAGGCCCACCAAGGCGACGAUCCGUAGCUGGUCUGAGAGGAUGAACGCCCCCCUGGGAAUGGAGAAGGGGCCGCAACUCCGGCGGGAGGGAGAGGAGGGAAAUAUGAAACAGGGGGCGAAGACUGACUCAGGCCAUCCCGGGGGGGAGAGAGAGACUUUGGGUUGAGAGAGCCUUUUUGUGGGGAAAAAAAAGCGACAAUUUACUCCCCCGUUUUUGUGGCGGUACCAAAAGAAGAAGCACCGGCUAACUUCGUG